UGGGGAAUAUUGCGCAAUGGGCGAAAGCCUGACGCAGCAACGCCGCGUGGGUGAUGAAGGCCUUCGGGUCGUAAAGCUCUGUCGGAGGGAACGAAUGCUCCUGAAGUUAACAGCUUCAGGAGGUGACGGUACCCUCAAAGGAAGCACCGGCUAACUCUGUGCCAGCAGCCGCGGUAAUACAGAGGGUGCAAGCGUUGUUCGGAAUCAUUGGGCGUAAAGGGUAGGUAGGUGGUCUCGUUUGUCUGAGGUGAAAGCCCUGGGCUUAACUCAGGAAGUGCCUCAGAAACGGCGAGACUGGAGUCCUGGAGAGGGUCGUGGAAUUCCCGGUGUAGCGGUGAAAUGCGUAGAGAUCGGGAGGAACACCAGAGGCGAAGGCGGCGACCUGGACAGGUACUGACACUAAACUACGAAAGCGUGGGGAGCAAACAGGAUUAGAUACCCCCGUAGUCCCUGAGCGGGCUGGCAAGGCGCAU
rnacentral:rRNA from 1 species